rnacentral:lncRNA from 1 species
UUUGAUAUAAUAAAAAGUUGCUGCAUUUUUGGAGAUAUAUAAGGAAUGUUGUCAAAUUACACAUUUCACUCUAUCACCCUCUCUAUCUCUCUCUCUCUCUCCCACAAAUUUGACGNUUUUUUUCUUCUUUUUUGUGAACAAUGGAGAGCUAAGGAUUAAUUAUGUAUGUUUGAAGGAGUGAAACUCCAUUUUGAAUGUGUAAAAAACGGCUGAUGGGUUUGUUAAGAUAUGUUUGGGAUCAAAUCGGAUACCUUCGGGGUUUCUGUUAGCAUCCUGACCCGGCACCCUGGCCCGCUUUCCCUCCCCAUCCUAAACCCUAAUUUCAGCCACAGCCACAGCCGCGCCUAUUUCUCCCCCUCUCCCUCUCUUUCUCUUUCUCUCCCUUCUCAUCUCUCUCUCGAUUUCCCUUUGGAAGACAGCCAACGAGGCCCGACCGCCGCCGUUGCUCCUUCUCGGCCGCGUUCAGUGGCCUCUCGCGCCACCUCGCGCCGCUGCGUUCAAUGGCGUCUCCGCCCCUGUCUGCCCCCAUCGCCUCUCUGUCGCGGCCUCGUACCGCCCAGCUCCACCACCGGUUAACACAAACAAAAAGGAGCCAAUUGGCCCAAUUCCAACUUUUCAAAAUUUCCUGAUGAAUUGUGGAUUUCUGAGGUGGUGCGGCCUUACAAUUACACGGUGGCGGAGUUCACUGUGCGGAUUUCUGAGGUGAAUAACAGAUUAGCUAACUGUGGGGUGAAAGAGGAAGGCAUCAUUGUGCCGCGGUAUCUCGGGGCGAAGAACCAACUCUCUCUCCUACAGCAGGACUCCGCCGGAGAUAUUGAAGAUUCACCGGAGACGAGCACGUUCCCGGUGGGUUCUUCCCGGAGGGGGUGUUCUGGAGGAGAUGAACUUUUGGGGGUGGGAGGUGGCGGUGGGGUGGUGGGAUUGGGAUUAGAUGUUUUUUUUUUCUUUCUAUUUUUCUCUUUAAACAUAUUUAUAUAUAUUUAUAAAAGGUUAAAAUUGUAAUUUGUUAAUUUAAACUAUAAUUAUAUACUAUCAAACAAGAAUAUUACACCUAUAAAUAAUAACAAUCUCACUUAAUCUAUAAUCUAAAUUUUAUUUAUUACCAUUUAUCUCAAUUUAUAUGUCAAACACACCCUAAAGAUGAUGGUCAGUAAAAUAUUAAAAACCUACCAAAUUUUAGUUAUGAAAUUUACAUCAUAAGAUUUUAUAAGUAUAAAGAAUAAUUAUGAAUUUUUAAAUGCUAAGUAGGUUAUGUAAGUAGACGAUUACAUUUGAUGUAUAUAUUAUGCCAUUUGAGAUUCAUUGGAGUAUCAUAUUUGGUGUCUUAUUUUUCAAAUUUUUUGUUUGAUAGAUUUAAAAUUAAGGUAUAUAAAUUAUUAAACUUUCCACAAUUUUUUUUUUUUUAGGAAAAGCAUAGGACUUAUCAUAGAUCAAGAGUCAACAACGUGUACAUCAGCAGGAAAAGCUCCAACAGUAGCAAAAGACAAAGAAUUAAACAGAGCAUAAGAGGCUAAACUAUCAGCUUCGGCGUUUCCUUCUCGUGGAGUCCAGCUAAACUUCAAAUGACGAAACGAAUUCAGCAAACUGUAUAUGUUCUGCAGCGUAUCCCCAAGGUAAGACAUGUCUUUCUCUUUUCUAAUAAGCAUCCAAUAAAGAGUUUGACAAUCAAGCUCCACAAUAACAUCUUGAAAACCAAAAUCCCUACCCAUCUUAACUCCUUCCAGAAUGGCAAGAGCCUCUCCUUCGACCACCGUGUAGGCCCCCAAAAGAGAGCCAUAUCUGCAACUAAUAAUCUCUCCCUGAGCAUCAGUCAUCACCACCCCAACACCAACACCUUGACCACCACGAAUAGCUGUAUCGCAUGAAAUUUUCACCUGUCCCUCCCUGCUGCAAUCAAUCGUAUUUGCUCGUUGUUGGUUCGACGCCGCACAAACAGGAGGUGUCCACAACGCCCUCUGCGCUAUGUCGAGGCAUUCAACGUGGCUAAUCUCUUUAUUUUGGAACACCAGCAGAUUUCUUGCGAACCAAGAAGCCCAAGCAACUGUUGCAAACUUUGCAUGAGCUUCCUUUUGAGGGCUGCGUCGCAUCCGAUCAAACCAAUCCACCAAAGAGCAAUUUUCAUCCUGAGCAAUAGGCUGUAAACGCAUGGGAGACACAGCCCACAACAUCUUCAUCCAAUUGCAAUCCCUAAUGGCAUGCUCCGCUGACUCUUCGAACUCACCACACCGCUUGCAAAUAGGAUCGAUAUCAAUCGAACGGCUCCUCAAAGCACUCGCCACAGGAAGAGCGUUAGCUACACAUUUCCACAUAAACAACUUCACUUUAGGGAUAACCUCAAGCCCCCAAAUCCACUUCCACAUCCCACUUAAAGACAACGAAGUCGAAGCCUCAUUCCUACUUUGAAUCUGGAGGGCCAGUCGAUAACCCGACCGAACAGAAUACAUAUUGAAUCUCCCGCCAGGCCAGAAUGGUUUAUCCAUCACAUUGGGAACGCCUCGCAUUUGCGCAACCACCUUCCAUCGCUCACUCGCAUCCAUCACCUCUAUCAGUUUGCUAUCAUCCCAAACAUGAGCCUCCUCCCUGAACAACUCUUCAACCUUCAUAUUCGCAUGUAUGUCCCUCACCUUUGCUGUUUCAAAAAGACCAUUACCAUCCGGAAGCCAACGAUCCACUCCAAUCCGAAUACGAUUUCCCCUUCCCACUCUCCAUGCAAUACCUUCCGCUAACAGAUUUCUACCUACUAAUUUACAUAGUGUGUUAAUUUUUAAAGGAAAAAUAUAUUACUUCAUCCGUCCCACGAAGCAUUACGCAGUUUCUUUUUUGGUCCGUCCCACGAAGCAUGACACGUUUUUAAAAAUGGCAAAAAAAUUACCCUUUAUUCACAUUUUCACUUUUUCACCUACCACACUUAACACACAAAAUAUCAAUUUUUUAAUUCUGGUGUCGAAAAGAAGGGUGUCAUGUGAGUAUUAUACAAAUAGAUAAAGAUAGGUGCAAUGCAAAUUGAAGGGAAAUAAAGAGGAAAGUGAAGGCUAAAAUGGGAAAUAAGAAACAUCUAGUGCAAACUCAAAAGUUCAACGGUGAGUGCUACACGAGUCAACUCACAAAUCACCCAAUUCAACCUUAAUUUCCAAUUGCUAAUCUUCUUCGUUAAGGAACACACACUAAUAACUAUAUAUGUAUUUUUUAUUUUAAAGGAUGCACAAAAAUCUGUAUUAUAUUAAUUUAAGUUAAUGGUAGGAUAUGAGCAUUUUUUUGUUACUUUUAAAGGAGUAGUAUUUGUUUUUUUUUUUUGUGAGCUCAUUACUUAUUAUGUUUAUAGAUUGUGCGAGUUGAUAAGUAGAAACAAAAAGUACACGCAGAACACGCAGUAAAAAUUCGUGUAGUUUCCAAUUAAAUAAUUAUUUGAUUAUUUUAUUAUACUUUUUUCAGUUUUGACACUCUCUCUUUACACACCGACGUUCAUCCCCUCUCCCUCUUCACUCUCUCUCUCUCUCUCUUCUUCACCUUCUUCUCUCUCUACUCUGCCGCUAUCCGACGACACUUCCCCUGCUGGCAAAAACCAAGAAAGAAAAUAAAUUUAAUAAGCUAAUAAAGAAAAAGAUUCCGUUGCCUCCUUCCUUUCCCCUUUUCCCCCAACCCUAAAUUUCUCCCGCAUCAACCAUGCUUUGAGCAAAUCAUCCGUUUUUUACCUCCAAGUUCCGAUUUUUAUCCCCUUUUAGCUCCAAUUGAUCGACGAAUCGAUGGGCUGCGCCACCUCCAAGCACGACG